rnacentral:rRNA from 1 species
GACGGAGGGUGCAAGCGUUGUUCGGAUUGACUGGGCGUAAAGGGCGUGUAGGCGGUUUGUCAAGUCGGGUGUGAAAGCCUGGGGCUCAGCCUCAGAAGUGCAUCCGAAACUAGCGAGCUAGAGCGCGAUAGAGGAGGGUGGAAUUCCUGGUGUAGCGGUGAAAUGCGUAGAUAUCAGGAGGAACACCGGCGGCGAAGGCGGCCCUCUGGAUCGUUGCUGACGCUGAGACGCGAAAGCGUGGGGAGCAAACAGG